rnacentral:rRNA from 1 species
CACGUAGGGCGCAAGCGUUGUCCGGAAUUAUUGGGCGUAAAGAGCUCGUAGGCGGUCUGUUGCGUCCGCUGUGAAAACUCGGGGCUUAACCCCGAGCCUGCAGUGGAUACGGGCAGACUAGAGGUAGGUAGGGGAGAAUGGAAUUCCCGGUGUAGCGGUGAAAUGCGCAGAUAUCGGGAGGAACACCGGUGGCGAAGGCGGUUCUCUGGGCCUUACCUGACGCUGAGACACGAAAGCGUGGGUAGCAAACAGG